AACGAACGCUGGCGGCAUGCCUAACACAUGCAAGUCGAACGAGACCUUCGGGUCUAGUGGCGCACGGGUGCGUAACGCGUGGGAACCUGCCCUUAGGUUCGGAAUAACUCCCCGAAAGGGGUGCUAAUACCGGAUAAUGUCUUCGGACCAAAGAUUUAUCGCCUUUGGAUGUGCCCGCGUUGGAUUAGCUAGUUGGUAGGGUAAAAGCCUACCAAGGCGACCAUCCAUAGCUGGUCUGAGAGGAUGAUCAGCCACACUGGGACUGAGACACGGCCCAGACUCCUACGGGAGGCAGCAGUGGGGAAUAUUGGACAAUGGGCGAAAGCAUGAUGCAGCAAUGCCGCGUGAGUGAUGAAGGCCUUAGGGUUGUAAAGCUCUUUUACCCGGGAUGAUAAUGACAGUACCGGGAGAAUAAGCGCCGGCUAACUCCGUG
rnacentral:rRNA from 1 species